rnacentral:misc_RNA from 1 species
ACAAAAAUGGAAGAGGGUGAAUUCUUUGCGAUUGAAACAUUUGCAUCAACCGGAAAAGGCUAUGUCAGGGAAGAUCUGGAGUGCAGUCAUUACAUGAAAAAUUUUGACGCUGGACACAUCCCAUUGAGGUUGCCAAGAGCAAAGCAACUGUUAGCAACAAUCAACAAGAACUUCUCCACAUUGGCCUUCUGUAGACGGUAUUUAGACCGCCUAGGGGAGACUAAAUAUUUGAUGGCAUUAAAGAAUUUAUGUGAUGCUGGAAUUGUUCAGCCAUAUCCUCCUCUAUGUGAUAUUAAGGGCAGUUAUGUAUCCCAGUUUGAGCAUACUAUCUUGCU